ACACUUGGCCCGUGGAAAGGAAGAGGAAAAAAAUAAAAAUAUUUUUUUUAAAAAGCAGCGUUGCGUUCAGGGAUUGCACGGGCAGCUUUCUCGGAAUGAAGUGAAGUGAGUACUGGCCAGUUCCUCUGUUGGAGGUUCGGUGGCACCUUGCGCCUUGUCUCUACCUCUCCCGCCCUCUUCGCCCCAGCAAUCAGCAUCACCUGGGCUGCACACCUGUCUUCAAGCAACACUGAUUUCUGCCUGCAUUUAAGCCUGCCUCACCCAGAACUCCAGCGCCAGACUAUUUCACUAUUGUUGGUGGAUUCCCUACCGUGUCACCAGCUUCGCUGCCGGGUCCAACCACGCCGUCACGUCCUGCCACCUGGCCCCGCCUACCGUCUCCUGACUCUUCCUUGUUCCCCGAGCCAUCAUCACGCCUUGGAAAUACGGCUCAAAGAUGAGCUCGCAGCCGGGGAUGAGCCCACCUCUUUGGAGGAAUUAAUUUCAGUAGCUAUUAAGAUAGACAAUCAUCUCCAAGAAAUAGAGAGAAGGGGGUUGAAACGUCCAGUUUGACACCGUCUGCAGGCACAGCACAUCCAGCCAAUCUGCGUCACACUGAACGUCCUUACCUCCCACCAGACUGGAGGAGCUGAUGCAACUAUGUAAAAUGCGACUAAAUCCCCUGAAACGUCAAUGCCGAUUAAACCAACAGUUAUGUCUUUAUUGUGGUCAGCCAGGUCACUUCAUCGCCACUUGCACCCUCAAACCGAAAAGACAGUGCUCACCACAACCCAGGAGCGUCAUGGUGAAUCAAACCAACUCCUCUUCCAGCUCUCACUCCUGUAUGAGCGUUCCCACGGGUAUCCUUGGUUCCGAUUUGUAAUACCCUGGUGUCAGCGUCACCUUGAACAGUCUCUUUGUCAAGCCUGAGAAAUGUGAAUUCCACCUUUCCUUCGUGCACUUCCUGGGAUACAUCAUCGCCAAGGGACAACUACAACCGGACCCAGCGAAAAAUUCAAGCAGUCGUUGACUGGCCCAUUCCCUCCACCCACAAAGAGCUGGGAGAUUGAACAGGUGGUUAAGGAGGCUCAGAAGACUCACCCGGAUCCCAAGACCGGACCUCCUAACCGGCUGUUCCAAUUCUGCACACUUUGACGUCCUUCAGUGGGUCUACCACUCUAAACUCACCUGUCAUCCCGGAAUCACCCGCACCAUCCAUUUCAUCCAGCAACACUUCUGGUAGCCCAGCCUGGCUAAAGACACCUGAGAGUUUGUCCUAGCGUGCUCCGUCUGUGCCCGAGGUAAAACUUCACAUUGACCCCCAGCUGGUCUGCUGCGCCAGUUACCUAUUCCAAGUCACCCCUGGUCCCACAUUUCCCUGGACUUUGUUACUGGUCUACCCCCCCCCUGCAAAGACUUCACGGCAUCCCUAUUGACAGUGUCUCGGACCAAGGUCCUCAGUUCUCCUCCUAGGUCUGGAAGGAGUUCUGCAAGGCAGUGGGCGCAGCACCCAGCCUGUCUUCCGGCUAUCACCCCCAAUCCAACGGCCAGAUGGAGUGGGAGAAUCAAAGCUUGAAAUCUGCUCUUCACUGUGUUGCUGCUCGCAAUCCCGCCUCCUGGAGCAUCUUUCUCCCAUGGGUGGAAUAUGCCCACACCAGCUCUACCACAGGUAUGUCUCCCUUCAUGGCAUGUUAUGCUUUCCAACCUCCUCUGUUUAAGGAACAACAACAUACGGUGGCGGUUCCCAGCAUAAGCGAGAACCUUUUGAUGAGUCAAAGCUGUCUGGAAGGAUGUCAGGGCUGCUCUUAUGCGUUCAGCCAAAAAGAAUAAGCGGGUGGCAGAUCUUCUUGGCUCUCCCGUGCCUGAAUAAAAGCCGGUAAGGUUUCUGUUGAAUGGGGGUCCAUGCCCGUUCCAACCGUGCCAUCAAGUCCUGCCACCUGCUCCCGCUACCGUCUCCUGACUGUUCCUUGUUCCCGCGAGCCACCAGCAUGCCUCGGAAAUACACACCUUGAGCUUCCUCCAAAUAAACCAUUUCCAUCUACUCCUUCCACCUCCGCCUGCUUUUGGGUCCAGUCCUACAUCAGACUAUAACCAAUUGUGACACACAUUCCGCCAUGUCACUGCUGUCGCAGUUUUUUUCUGCCUUAGAAGACCUCAAUUAACUCAACUGCGGUUGACUUUACCUCUCUCUAGUUAAGUCGUUCUUACGGCAUGUCGUCAUCUGCAAAGGUUGAAAAAAGUAACAGGCCUAUUUUGACGAAGUAAGGAGUUGAACAUGCAGAUAUUUUCAAAUGUAGGGAAAACAAAUAAAAGGUUGUCAGAAAAAUAAAGUACAGAGCUGAAAAAUCUACUAAAGUACAGUAAUGAAGUAUCUGUACUUUACUUCCCACCACUGGUUGGACAAUAUAAAGCAUGUAAUUUGGUAUUCCACUUUUUUUUUUUUUUUUUUUUUAAGUGAAUGCGGUAAACUUGUAUGGUGUUUUAAAAUGUCAUUUCAAUCAUAUAUGUGCUAUAGUUACUGCAGUAUGCAUAUUGUUAAAACCUGGAUGAAUAUUACAUAAAAAAUUACCAUAUGCACAUACCGGAAACUGCCAUUGACUGUGUCGACUCUCAAUUUAACAUAACCUGCUAUGGAACUCCAUACCUUGGGC